rnacentral:lncRNA from 1 species
GCCGGGGUUGAGAAUUCGGUCUUCUCGGGAACUCCGUUACCACUAUGCUUAAAUGCUGGGUCUGAGCCCUAGUUUUUUUCUGUCCUCUAGCUAUAGAAGUAGGAGAGUCUCCUUACAUGCUGCCAGGGAGGCCUUUUGUCUUUGGUACUCUGUCUUACAUUUGUGAUUGAUCAUCUUAGCCUUUCAUUAAACCCAUCUCUGACUACCAAACUUGUGGUCUUAUCCAUGGUCCAUGUGUUUGUAGCAGCUACCUAGAGCAGAGGGAAAUAUGUUUUCUGAAUAGAAGAAAGGGACUGGCUUGAGCGUUGGAUAGAUCCAGGGACUGGACACAGAAGAUGUUCAAUCCUCUGUUAGUAGAGAGUCAUAGUCAAAAUGGAUUGUGUUUCCAAUCUUUGGUGAGUGGGUUGUGUAGGUUGUAGAAUGUAUUUUUGCAUACAAACAAUGUUCAAUAUGGAAGCUAGGUUCCUAGACAAGCUACUUAAUCAUAAUGUACCCAAGAUAAAGAGUAUUAUUUCAUCUUAAUAAAUAAGACUGUAUGCUUAUUAUAAUACUAUGUUAAUAUAAUUGGAAAGAGAGAAGUGUCUCCUUUUCCUUGUAGCUAUUUUGACUCAAAAAUUAGACAAUUCCAGCAGUGUUUCUCCCCUCUUAAAGAAGGGUCCAUGUCAAAGAAUUGAAAGUGAUUCUUGUAUACAGCCUAAUCACUUAGUUCCCUCUGGAAAUAGAAUGUGGGAGAAAAUAAAGGAUAGUUGUUCCAGAAGCCCAUUUUGGCUGUGGGUCCAAAAAGCAUCUAUGAUCCAGCUUUAUCAGUAAAAAAAAGCAGGCACUGGAUUUUACCCUCUGUCUUGUUGCUUGGUCUAGUUCCGAAAUGAAUCCAAAUCUUUAGAGGAGGAUAUUUACUCCACAUAUUCUCCUCUAAAGAUUUGGAUUCAUUUGGGAACUAGAAUCUUGUGUUAAAGUAUCAGCUAUCAGUUGGUAUUUUGACAGAGUCAAACCCCCAAAAUAUAUAGCACUAGACCAAGAUGCAGUCUGGUGGCACACUUCAUGGAUGCAAGUGAAGACAGGUUUUUCCACCCAAAUCCUCCAACUUCCCUACUGUCUAAGAGUUUCUCCCUGAUGUUGACAUUGUUCUCUCCCUCUGCUUCUCUUCCACAUCCUUUUUCCUGCCACGAAUGUCACGUUCUUGAAGGGGGUAUAUGUUGUAACUUAAAGACCCCUGGAGAAAACUUCCUAUGUGUCACCAUUCUGCCUGUCUCCUAUACACCUGUUUGUUCUUUGAUGGGUGGCAGCAUGGUUUGCAAGAAAGCUAUAACUCUGGGCUUAUAGCUUUUAAACUUGGGUUUAAACUUGGGUUGACCACCUACAGGUUCUGGAGACUUGAUAAACUUAAUUAGCUAC